rnacentral:rRNA from 1 species
ACUCCUACGGGAGGCAGCAGUGGGGAAUAUUGCACAAUGGGGGAAACCCUGAUGCAGCCAUGCCGCGUGUGUGAAGAAGGCCUUGGGUUGUAAAGCACUUUCAGUAGGGAGGAAGGUAGUGUAGUUAACACCUGCAUUAUUUGACGUUACCUACAGAAGAAGCACCGGCUAACUCCGUGCCAGCAGCCGCGGUAAUACGGAGGGUGCGAGCGUUAAUCGGAAUUACUGGGCGUAAAGCGCAUGCAGGCGGCCUGUUAAGUCAGAUGUGAAAGCCCGGGGCUUAACCUCGGAAUUGCAUUUGAAACUGGCAGGCUAGAGUCUUGGUAGAGGGGUUAGAAUUUCAGGUGUAGCGGUGAAAUGCGUAGAGAUCUGAAGGAAUACCAGUGGCGAAGGCGGCCCCUGGACAAAGACUGACGCUCAGAUGCGAAAGCGUGGGAGCAAACAGGAUUAGAUACCCCGUGGUAGACUGU